rnacentral:misc_RNA from 1 species
AGAGGAGCAAGUCCCAUGCUUCUCUGCAAGAAGAAAAGGUAGCAAGAAUUUUACAAAUAAAAAAUAUAUGACAUUGGAAUUUCAAACAGAAAUCCAAAUUUCAUACAGAUUCUUGAAAUAGAUACAUGUGCAGAAAGUCCAUCUAGUUACCAGUCAAUAAAUCAUUAGAAAUGAUAGUGCACAUGCAAGGGUGACCAUUUAUUCUAGUUGAUCUUUUAAGGUGAAACGCCAUACUAUCCCAAACAGAUUAUUGUUUUCAUGAUUAGAUCAAAGAUAUUUCGCAGUUUUGAAUUAAUUCAUAACAUUAAAGAUCAUAUUGUAAAAAUUGAACACAGGUAUAGUGUGAAAACU